rnacentral:rRNA from 1 species
GUAGGGAAUAUUGGGCAAUGGUCGGAAGACUGACCCAGCCAUGCCGCGUGCAGGAAGACGGCCCUCUGGGUUGUAAACUGCUUUUAUCUGGGAAGAAAAAGGCCAUGCGUGGCAAAUUGCCGGUACCAGAUGAAUAAGCACCGGCUAACUCCGUGCCAGCAGCCGCGGUAAUACGGAGGGUGCGAGCGUUGUCCGGAUUUAUUGGGUUUAAAGGGUGCGUAGGCGGCUGAUUAAGUCAGCGGUGAAAGCCUUCGGCUUAACCGGAGCAGUGCCGUUGAUACUGGUUGGCUUGAGUGUCGGAGGGGUACAUGGAAUUGAUGGUGUAGCGGUGAAAUGCAUAGAUACCAUCAGGAACACCGAUAGCGAAGGCAUUGUACUGGCCGACAACUGACGCUGAUGCACGAAAGUGUGGGGAUCGAACAGGAUUAGAAACCCCGGUAGUCC